rnacentral:rRNA from 1 species
CUUUCGAUCGUUGCGCCCUCCAUCCUACUCUUCCCCCCCCCCCGCGCCGCCCAAAACACCUUGCUUUGCCACACCCUCAAGGGAACUCAGCAGUGAUAGAUAUUAAGCCAUAAGUGAAAACUUGACUUAGUUAAGGUUUAGAGGGCCGGUAAAAUUCGUGCCAGCCACCGCGGUUAUACGAAAGGCCCAAGUUGACCACCACCGGCGUAAAGCGUGGUUAGGUUUAUGUACAAUAUGACUAAAGUCGAACUCCUUCAAGGCCGUUUAACGUGUUCGAAAGGGAGAAGCACAACUACGAAAGUGACUUUACAAACCUGACUCCACGAAAGCUAAGGCACAAACUGGGAUUAGAUACCCCACUAUGCUUAGCCCUAAACAUAGAUAGAAUGCCACCCUUCUAUCCGCCCGGGUACUACGAGCAUUAGCUUAAAACCCAAAGGACUUGGCGGUGCUUUAGACCCAUCUAGAGGAGCCUGUUCUAGAACCGAUACUCCCCGUUAAACCUCACCCCUCUUUGUCUCUUCC